CAGCAGCCGCGGUAAUACGGAGGAUCCAAGCGUUAUCCGGAAUCAUUGGGUUUAAAGGGUCCGUAGGCGGUCUUGUAAGUCAGUGGUGAAAGCCCAUCGCUCAACGGUGGAACGGCCAUUGAUACUGCAGGACUUGAAUUAUUGGGAAGUAACUAGAAUAUGUAGUGUAGCGGUGAAAUGCUUAGAGAUUACAUGGAAUACCAAUUGCGAAGGCAGGUUACUACCAAUUGAUUGACGCUGAUGGACGAAAGCGUGGGUAGCGAACAGGAUUAGAUACCCGUGUAGUCCCUGUCUCUUAUAC
rnacentral:rRNA from 1 species